GACGAACGCUGGCGGCGUGCUUAACACAUGCAAGUCGAACGGAAAGGCCCUGCUUUUGUGGGGUGCUCGAGUGGCGAACGGGUGAGUAACACGUGAGUAACCUGCCCUUGACUUUGGGAUAACUUCAGGAAACUGGGGCUAAUACCGGAUAGGAGCUCCUGCUGCAUGGUGGGGGUUGGAAAGUUUCGGCGGUUGGGGAUGGACUGGCGGCUUAUCAGCUUGUUGGUGGGGUAGUGGCUUACCAAGGCUUUGACGGGUAGCCGGCAUGGGAGGGUGACCGGCGACAUUGGGACUGAGAUACGGCGCAGACUCCUACGGGAGGCAGCAGUGGCGAAUCUUGCACAAUGGGCGCAAGCCUGAUGCAGCAACGCCGCGUGCGGGAUGACGGCCUUCGGGUUGUAAACCGCUUUCGCCUGUGACGAAGCUUGAGUGACGGUAAUGGGUAAAGAAGCACCGGCUAACUACGUG
rnacentral:rRNA from 1 species